AUUGAACGCUGGCGGCAGGCCUAACACAUGCAAGUCGAGCGGAUGAAGGGAGCUUGCUCCUGGAUUCAGCGGCGGACGGGUGAGUAAUGCCUAGGAAUCUUCCUGGUAGUGGGGGAUAACGUCCGGAAACGGGCGCUAAUACCGCAUACGUCCUGAGGGAGAAAGUGGGGGAUCUUCGGACCUCACGCUAUCAUAUGAGCCUAGGUCGGAUUAGCUAGUUGGUGGGGUAAAGGCCUACCAAGGCGACGAUCCGUAACUGGUCUGAGAGGAUGAUCAGUCACACGGGAAGGGAGACACGGUCAAGACUCCUACGGGAGGCAGCAGUGGGGAAUAUUGGACAGUGGGCGAAAGCCUGAUCCAGCCAUGCCGCGUGUGUGAAGAAGGUCUUCGGAUUGUAAAGCACUUUAAGUUGGGAGGAAGGGCAGUAAGUUAAUACCUUGCUGUUUUGACGUUACCAACAGAAUAAGCACCGGCUAACUUCGUG
rnacentral:rRNA from 1 species